rnacentral:rRNA from 2 species
CCGGAUUUAUUGGGCGUAAAGCGAGCGCAGGCGGUUGCUUAGGUCUGAUGUGAAAGCCUUCGGCUUAACCGAAGAAGUGCAUCGGAAACCGGGCGACUUGAGUGCAGAAGAGGACAGUGGAACUCCAUGUGUAGCGGUGGAAUGCGUAGAUAUAUGGAAGAACACCAGUGGCGAAGGCGGCUGUCUGGUCUGCAACUGACGCUGAGGCUCGAAAGCAUGGGUAGCGAACAGGAUUAGAUACCCUGGUAGUCCAUGCCGUAAACGAUGAGUGCUAGGUGUUGGAGGGUUUCCGCCCUUCAGUGCCGGAGCUAACGCAUUAAGCACUCCGCCUGGGGAGUACGACCGCAAGGUUGAAACUCAAAGGAAUUGACGGGGGCCCGCACAAGCGGUGGAGCAUGUGGUUUAAUUCGAAGCUACGCGAAGAACCUUACCAGGUCUUGACAUCUUGCGCUAACCUUAGAGAUAAGGCGUUCCCUUCGGGGACGCAAUGACAGGUGGUGCAUGGUCGUCGUCAGCUCGUGUCGUGAGAUGUUGGGUUAAGUCCCGCAACGAGCGCAACCCUUGUUACUAGUUGCCAGCAUUAAGUUGGGCACUCUAGUGAGACUGCCGGUGACAAACCGGAGGAAGGUGGGGACGACGUCAGAUCAUCAUGCCCCUUAUGACCUGGGCUACACACGUGCUACAAUGGACGGUACAACGAGUCGCAAGCUCGCGAGA